AUGGAUCCUCUGUUCAAUGAACUUGUCGACCUCGCUACUGAAGACAGCAUACCCGAUAUGUCGAAAAUCGUUCUUAUGGCACAGCAAGAAAGUAGCGGGAAUGAAGCGCCGUCAUGUUCAUCGUCACAGGACGACAUGCCAGCAACGCCAUGUGUAUCUUAUAAUGGGGCCGUCCUUGAAGAUGCAGAGUUUUUCUGGCUGAUGGUAGACCAGACAAAGUGUUUUCAAGUGACUAAUGCAGAGGAAGGACUUGUCGCAAUUAUGUGUGCAAACUGGUUGUUCAAUGUUCAAUAUGCUUGUAAAGCGUUCAACACCCUUGUCGUCCUCGAAAGAUUUUUUCUUGAGCUCGAAAAGACAACACCAAGAUCUGUUGUUGCGAAGUUCUUAAACAUUGUCGUAAAAUCCACAUAGUCAUAUGAUAAUGCCAUAUGGUAAUGUUCUUGCACAUUUGCCUUACUGCAUAUUUUUUAUGUUUGAUUGUAUUAGUGAUUGAAAAUUUAUUGAUUAUUAUUGCCGUUUUUAGUGCCGCAUUAAUUUAUUUUGCAUUCGCUUCACAAGUCGUGCAUGUUUCUCCUUUUGCAUAGCCGGGCACACAUGCUGUCAAAUAACCCAUGGUCAUUGAACUUUUAGUUAUUACCAUAUUACAUUCCUGCAAGACAGAACUAUUGUGCAAUAGUUUUUGCUGCUUGUUUGCUAAUCUAAAUAACAUUACACUGCCUUGGUUAUGGUCAGAUUAGAUUAUGUGGGCCAUUAUGAUAUAAUGCACAUUGCAAGAAGCAUGUGUAAAAUUUUGCAAUAAAUGUAAAUAAUUUAGAGAAAAA
rnacentral:lncRNA from 1 species